rnacentral:rRNA from 1 species
UACGUAGGGGGCAAGCGUUGUCCGGAAUCACUGGGCGUAAAGGGCGCGUAGGCGGCCCUGGUAAGUCUGCGGUGAAAGCCCGGGGCUCAACCCCGGGUCGGCCGCGGGUACUGCCGGGCUGGAGUGCCGUAGGGGCAGGCGGAAUUCCGGGUGUAGCGGUGGAAUGCGUAGAGAUCCGGAAGAACACCGGUGGCGAAGGCGGCCUGCUGGGCGGCGACUGACGCUGAGGCGCGACAGCGUGGGGAGCAAACAGG